GGCACUUCCUCUUCCGACGAGUUCAAUUUCAUCACUCGAUCUCUUCGACUACUCCUUACAUAUUCUCUACCAUCGAAACGAUAUCUCUUUCUGUAACGCUUUGUCCACUCUCCUUUAUAUAGAGAUGUUGUGGGUGAAAUACCCUCUGCGUAGGGGUCUGAUCUCAGGAACAAUACAGCAACCACCAGAGUUGUGGUCCCCUCUUAAUCGAACCGCUUUGAAUUAACUCAGCCGUUGGAUCAUAGUAGUUACUUUAGCAGCGGGAGAGUCUCCGGAGGAUUGAUGCCGAAGCUAUUUGCCGGUG